CCAGGAACUGUUCAGAAUCUUCUCGUAUGUAUCCUCAAUAGAUUUCUGGAAAGAGAUGCAUUUCGAUAAUUGUUGCAGCUCAAUAUAGCACGAGUUCAAAUCCCAACUAGGUCAUCAUUGGCUUUUUUCAAGUCUAGUACCGGAGUCACGUACUGGAAUCAAUGAUAUCGACUAAUUCCUUAUUCGAAUUUGCUGAUCCUGUGCCUAAAUUCAGAAUUAUACUGUGCAACAAAAUUUCUAGUUUUACUUUU